rnacentral:rRNA from 1 species
UACAGAGGGUGCGAGCGUUGUCCGGAAUUACUGGGCGUAAAGGGCGCGUAGGUGGUGGCUUAAGCGUGCGGUGAAAGCUCGGGGCUCAACCCCGAGUCGGCCGUGCGAACUGGGCUCACUGGAGCAUAGUAGAGGCAGGUGGAAUUCCGGGUGUAGCGGUGGAAUGCGUAGAGAUCCGGAAGAACACCGGUGGCGAAGGCGGCUCACUGGCCCGAUACUGACGCUGAGGCACGAAAGCGUGGGGAGCAAACGGG